ensembl:lncRNA
UUCGCCAUCAGCUUUACCUCCACUGCUCCCGCUGCCUAGCAACCUGCCGCGCUUGACAGUAAAAGCCUUAGAUGCCUAAAAACGUAUCAAGUACAGAUAAGGAAGAUAAUCUUAUUUCAUUUAAGUUAUAGGAAGAUACGCGUCUCCUCCGGAGCACGAUGUAUUUAUUUCAGACCACUCCUCAGUCUGUUCUUGACAAACUAGGGAGUAGAAAAGGUCCUCUCACAGGCCACUUGACUGAAAGAGAGCGUAAGCAAGAACCAGUCCAAUGACGUGAUAGGCAUCAGUGAGGGGGUUGUAUUUGGAGAGGAUAUGAUAAACACAAAUUGCACAGUCUUUACAGGAGGUGCAGCUGGUGUUAGUCAGUUCCAUGUUGUUGUGUUCAAAAAUGAAGAAACGCCGGACGGACAGAGGUCAUCGCAGAUCAAAAGAUUAAAUCAAAUGUGUUUAAUAAAAGAGAUGGUGUUGUGGUGAAAAGAACAUCUCUGCUGAGGAGCCGCUGGUCUCAGCAGCCAACAGGCCCAGGUCAGUCCUUUGACCCCCCAUAGUGACUGUCUGGUGUCUCCACCAUCGAACCGAGAACAAUAUUCCUACAGGUAUUUAUACCAAUGCUCAAAGGUGUGAAAGUUAGUGUCCACACCUCUGGGAGUGGUCUUCUGGUGAGUUCAUUGUAACUCGGAUUUCGAAUGUCAAUAUCAGUUGUUGUUCAAGUAUUACAUGUAUGCAUUCCAGUUGAUUACAUUACAUUAAAUACAAUCAUAACUGCAUUGGUAUUAUUCUAGUACAGUUGCAGAAUUACAGUGGUUUUACACUAUUGUCAUUACUUUAUUGAUUACACAGUUUCAGAAUCAUGGCUGUAUUCUGGUGUACACUAUAUGCAUUUUUAUUAAUUUUAUGAACCGGGUCGUAUAUUUGUUUCUAAUAUCCUACAAUGUCUUCUCCAUCUUCUUUCUCUUCUUUCCUUCUUUUCGCCAUUUUUACCGCCUGUCUCUGUUGCAUUCUCACAAACCCAAACCUAACCAAGUAAACUCCUUUGAGCCAAUCGGAUGUCAGGAAAUACGAGGAUCAGUCCAAGUUGGGAGGGGCCGCUCGUAUCCCCCCCCCUCAAGAUUGGAAGUAUUGGUUUGGCCCGGUCUGAAACACACACAGACACACAGCUGCGUUCCGCGGCAGCUAAGCGGCCGGUCUACAGGCCGGUACGGUAGCGUUACGUAUCAUAUAAAAAUAACAAAAAAAAAAAAAAAACUUUUGACCAGCGGCCGUCAAAGUUCUUUGAUGGCUGCAAUGCACGUUGGAAUGGAGCGGUUGUCGAGAGUUAGCAGCCGUGGGACAGAGUACUUGGGCUUCAUGCCGGUCGCCGAAGGUGUUAGCCCGGAGCUAGCCGUUAGCCCGGAGCUAGCCGUUAGCCCGGAGCUAGCCGUUAGCCAAACACGGAGACGGGAAGACUCGUCCGGCACAGGGGAGAAGACGGUCCGUAUUGUGGCAGUGGGCGAGGCACGGAGGACGGGCGGGAGGCAGCCGACAGCCAGCUACCAACGGCAGAGGUAUCGGCUCGAGGCAAAAACCGGACCGGGACGGCUCGAUGGCUGCCCCGGGAGAAAAGUUAAAAACCUUUUGUUGCAGCGCUGGGACGAUGGAGAAAUCCGGGUGUUCGCCGCUGACAGCGGGAGGCGGCCAACAAUCCGCUGAUGUUGGAGGAGAUGUCGGGAGGAGUACGACGAGCUGCUGCAGACCUGCAAGGAGAAGCUGCAUGACUUGGGGCGUCCCUCUGUACGACUUUCCCUUCAGGCCUUCGGAGCAGACCCUGGGGGGACGCGACUCCCUGGGGGGACGCGACUCCCUGGGACCUGCCUCAAAAGAGCGAACCCGUCCGGGUGGCGUCCACUCGCCUCCAAGCUCCACCUGACCUCUCCAUCACUUGAUCACAUGACGUAAUGAAUGAUAAACCUUUAGGUGUUAAUAUGUAUUUUUACUUAUUUUAUUUGUUUACUCGCCCUGUUUCAUGUAAUGUGUCAGUCUGAUCGCAGGAAUUCAAAAAUUAUCGAUAAAGGAACCCAAAAACAUAUUAUUUUUAUAAAUCCAAGGUUUUGUAUAUAAAUAUUAAAUCUCUGAAGUUGUGACACACUUGUUUUAUUUAUUUUAGUUUAGUUUUUUUUUAUAGAGAUUAUUAGAUGAAUGUGAGUCACACACACACAUUUCAUUAGUUUGCAGAUGAUGUAUUUGUAUUCAUACACGUCUCAUUAUCUCUUUUUUUCUUAGAGAUUUUACAUCCAUGAUUUUAGAAACAUAAAAAAAUACAACUGAAAAUGUACAUCAUACAUGUGAUACAUAUACACGUUCUGUUUUUUUACAUAGUUAAAAAUAUGACUUAUAUAAAAAGGACAAACCAACGACUACGACCAUUUCUCUUUUUCGUUUUCACACAGUUAUUAUUUUGUGAAAUACACAUCAGGAGAUAAAUGAAGCGACUUCAGGCACUUUCCUUAAACAGCUGAACACACGACUGCGUCUGAAGACAGGGACAGACAGACAGACGGACGGGGACAGACUUCAUGUUGGACGCCUUCAGGCUUCGGCCUCGAGUCUCUGGACGUUUGAUAUAAAUUCUUUCUGAUUCACGCAUUUUGUGGCAUUUUGUCACUGACUUGAACCCUGGUGGACGGAUAGCACUGGUCCCACUGUAACGCUUUCACAGCACACCAGUUCAACGAGAAACGCUCACAAUUAUUACAAAAAAAAUCCACUGCUUUGUGUUUUUAUAUGAAAAUCUGUUGAUCUUCGUGUGCUUCAGAAGCCACAAGUUUAAGCCGAUGGCGACGACGAGUUCGGCAUCAUGACGCGUUCGACCUACGAGAACAUUUUGUAUUUC